UCAAGUUAGCGGCGGACGGGUGAGUAACACGUGGGCAACCUGCCCUGCAGAUUGGGAUAACUCCGGGAAACCGGGGCUAAUACCGAAUAAUAUAGAGAGCUUCAUGGCUUUCUUUUGAAAGGCGGCUUCGGCUGUCACUGCAGGAUGGGCCCGCGGCGCAUUAGCUAGUUGGUGAGGUAACGGCUCACCAAGGCGACGAUGCGUAGCCGACCUGAGAGGGUGAUCGGCCACACUGGGACUGAGACACGGCCCAGACUCCUACGGGAGGCAGCAGUAGGGAAUCUUCCGCAAUGGACGAAAGUCUGACGGAGCAACGCCGCGUGAGUGAAGAAGGUUUUCGGAUCGUAAAACUCUGUUGUCAGGGAAGAACAAGUAUGGGAGUAACUGCCCGUACCUUGACGGUACCUGGCCAGAAAGCCACGGCUAACUACGUGCCAGCAGCCGCGGUAAUACGUAGGUGGCAAGCGUUGUCCGGAAUUAUUGGGCGUAAAGCGCGCGCAGGCGGCCUUUUAAGUCUGAUGUGAAAGCCCCCGGCUCAACCGGGGAGGGUCAUUGGAAACUGGAAGGCUUGAGUGCAGAAGAGAAGAGCGGAAUUCCACGUGUAGCGGUGAAAUGCGUAGAGAUGUGGAGGAACACCAGUGGCGAAGGCGGCUCUUUGGUCUGUAACUGACGCUGAGGCGCGAAAGCGUGGGGAGCGAACAGGAUUAGAUACCCUGGUAGUCCACGCCGUAAACGAUGAGUGCUAAGUGUUGGGGGG
rnacentral:rRNA from 1 species